UUCAACCACCCUGAACGCGCCUGAUCUCCUCUGAUCUCGGAAGCUAAGCAGGGUUGGGCCUGGUUAGUACUUGGCAAAUGUUAGAGAUUUUUGGGUGCAAUGAGU
rnacentral:rRNA from 1 species